rnacentral:rRNA from 1 species
UGAACGCUAGCGAUAGGCUUAACACAUGCAAGUCGAGGGGCAGCAUGGUCUUAGCUUGCUACGGCUGAUGGCGACCGGCGCACGGGUGCGUAACGCGUAUGCAACUUGCCUCACAGAGGGGGAUAACCCGUCGAAAGACGGACUAAUACCGCGUACACUCUAUGUUGGGCAUCCAAUGUAGAGGAAAUGAAAUUCGCUGUGAGAUAGGCAUGCGUCCCAUUAGCUAGUUGGUGAGGUAACGGCUCACCAAGGCGACGAUGGGUAGGGGAACUGAGAGGUUGAACCCCCACACUGGUACUGAGACACGGACCAGACUCCUACGGGAGGCAGCAGUGAGGAAUAUUGGUCAAUGGGCGAGAGCCUGAACCAGCCAAGUCGCGUGAAGGAUGACUGUCUUAUGGAUUGUAAACUUCUUUUAGACGGGAAUAACAAGAGUCACGUGUGGCUCCCUGCAUGUACCGUAUGAAUAAGCAUCGGCUAACUCCGUG